AUACGGAGGACGCGAGCGUUAUCCGGAUUCAUUGGGUUUAAAGGGUGCGCAGGCGGCCGUGCAAGUCAGCGGUGAAAGCCCGGGGCUCAACCCCGGAAGUGCCGUUGAUACUGCAUGGCUGGAAUGCGGUCGAGGCGGGCGGGACGGGGGGUGUAGCGGUGGAAUGCGUAGAUAUGCCACAGAACGCCGAUAGCGGAGGCAGCUCGCCAGGCCUGCAUUGACGCUCGGGCACGAAAGCGGGGGGAUCGAACAGGAUUAGAUACCCUGGUAGUCCACGCCGUAAACGAUGGGCGCUCGUCGUCGGCGGCAGACAGUCGGCGGCCAAGCGAAAGCGAUAAGCGCCCCACCUGGGGAGUACGGUCGCAAGGCUGAAACUCAAAUGAAUUGACGGGG
rnacentral:rRNA from 1 species